UACACCUCUUCCACAUAUGAUAGCCCUUCUGCAAGUAUAGUGUAAAAUGAUUCAUUUACUUCACUUGAUUAUGACUGUAUAAUCAAUUUGCUAUUUUAUGAAGAGCAACUUAUGGAGGGGGCUGUCUCUGGUUUCGGAAGAGAAUUAAAAGGAUGGACAGAAAAAUCAAUCACAAUGCAGAUUGUAUGUAAGCAUAUUCAGGUAAGUCUUUUACUGAUGUACAUGAAAUGAAGGUCUAGUGAGGGGAGAAGAUGAUUACCAGUUCUGCAGUGUGUACUGCAUCAUGAUGGCCCCGGGAGCUAAGGGCUUUAUAAAAUAAAUCUGUUUCUUUGAAAGCAUCUGCUUCUAUGACAACUGCCUGCCCUGAUGCUUCUUGCCAAAAUGGUCUACAUGGAUGAUUGAGAUCACAGGGAUUCAUGCAUAAAUGAAGAGGUGUACAUACUCAAUGAGAAUGUCUUUAAGCACAGUACUCUUUCCAGCGCCCAUUCCACCUCCCAUGAAAAGGAGAACUGGACUUCUAUCCUUGAAAGCCACUGGCGCCAUCACGUCCGUACAUUCAGACUCAUCAAUCUCUGGUCUCGGUUGAGCGAGUCCAAUUGCUUUCAUCUCUUGUACCAAUGUGGGCAUUGGGCUCAAUUGAUUGCCUGUUUGAGGGCGAUUUCUGCAAAACUCCAAUGGAAGGCGAAGUAACUGAGGAUGCAUCGUUCAAUUUCCUCGACAAGCUUGAUGAAGAGCGAAUCACAAUCUGGAUCUUGGGUGAAA